rnacentral:rRNA from 1 species
AGCUCCAAUAGCGUAUAUUAAAGUUGUUGCAGUUAAAAAGCUCGUAGUUGGAUUUCUGGUUGGACCGAUCGGUCCUUCACUUGGUGUUGGUACUUGAAUCGCGUCCGGCCAUCCUUGGGGAGAGCCUGCGUGGCAUUAAGUUGUCGUGCAGGGGAUCCCCAUCGUUUACUGUGAAGAAAUUAGAGUGUUCAAAGCAGGCUUACGCCGUUGAAUACAUUAGCAUGGAAUAAUAAGAUAGGACCUUGGUACUAUUUUGUUGGUUUGCGCACCAAGGUAAUGAUUAAUAGGGACAGUUGGGGGUAUUCGUAUUCAAUUGUCAGAGGUGAAAUUCUUGGAUUUCUGGAAGACGAACUACUGCGAAAGCAUUUACCAAGGAUGUUUUCAUUA